rnacentral:lncRNA from 1 species
GUCCGCGCCUUAGGCUGGCUCUCGCCGGCGGGCCGGCUUUCUACGCGGGGGCAGCGAGGCUGGCUCAGCACCCCGGGCCUCCUCUUGCAACCCUCGGGAAUGGCCGGCCGCCCCACUGAAAGCGCUGGGGAACCGAGAGGUGUCUUAGAAAGCUGCAUGAGUGGCAGAACGGUGGCUACUAUGACAGAGAGGCCGCCGUGGGCGAAGAGGGAGUGUGACAUUCUUCAGAAUUCAUCCUGGAAUCAAUAUUAUGCCAAAGAAAAUUUUCUGAAAGCUACACAGAUCAUACCACUGCAACUCAGCCAACCAGCACAUCGGACAGUGGGAGGAGGAAUUCUUGGCUAAGAGUACUGAGACUAUGGAAAUGAUGUUAAACAAAAAGCAAAUUCAAGUGAUUUUCUUAUUCAAUUUCAAAAUGGGUUGUAAAGCAGCAGAAACAACUCACAACAUCAGUAAUGCAUUUGGCCCAGGAACUGCUAACAAACAUACAGUGCAGUGGUGGUUCAAGAAGUUUUGCAAAGGAAACGAGAGCCUUGAAGAUGAGGAGCAUAGUGGCUGGCCAUCGGAAGUUGACAAAGACCAAUUGAGAGCAAUCAUCAAAACUGAUCCUCUUACAACUACAUGAGAAGUUGCUGAAGAACUCAGUGUCGACCAUUCUACAGUAAUUUGGCAUUUGAAGCAAAUUGGAAAGGUGAAAAAAAAUCCAUCUUCUCUUAUUCUACGCAACAACAGUGAACCAUAUCUCUAUCGAAUCAUGACGUGCGAUGAAAAGUGGAUUUUAUAUAACAACCGGCGACAACCACGUCAGUGGUUGGACCAAGACGAAGCUCCAAAGGCACUUCCCAAGCCAAACUUGCACCAAAAAAGUCAUGGUCACUGUUUGGGGUUCUGUUGUUGGGGUUCUGUUGCCGGUCUGAUUCACUACAGCUUUCUGAAUCCCAGUGAAACCAUUACAUCUGAGAAAAAUGCUCAGCAAAUCGAUGAGAUGCAACACCCACAGCCAGCAUUGGUCAACAGAGAGGGCCCAAUUCUUCUCCACAACACCUGACUGCACGUCGCACAACCAACGCUUCAAAAGUUGAAUGAAUUAGGCUACAAAGUUUUGCUUCAUCUGCCAUAUUCACCUGACCUCUCGCCAACUGACUCACUUCUCCAAGCAUCUCGACAACUUUUUGAAGGGAAAACGUUUCCACAACCAGCAGGAUGCAGAAAAUGCUUUCUAAAAGUUCAUCGAAUCCCAAAGCAUAGAUUUUUAUGCCGUAAGAAUAAACAAACUUAUUUCUCAUUGGCAAAAACGUGUUGAUUGUAAUGGUUCCUAUUUUGAUUAAUAAAGAUAUGUUUGAGCCUAGUUAUAAUGAUUUAAAAUUUAUGGUAGGAAACCAGUUACCUUUGUUGGCAGGACAUAAACCCAGGCUUCUUGACACCCAAUUUAGAGUGCUUUGUGCUCCGUCACUUGGCUUCUGCCCCUUCCUCACCUUACACAUC